UGCCCAGCAACUCCUAUCCCUACCUCCUCGCGGUACUGGCCGGGGUACGAGUCACCUUAGGGAAGAUCGGGUAACCAACCCCCGGUGGGAACUUUGGUCGUAUGCUGACAGGGAAGG
rnacentral:ribozyme from 1 species